GAAAAUGUAAAUUAAGUUCUUAAAUUAGUAAAAGGUACGUUCUUGAAAAUUAAAAAAGGUGGCGGUAUUUUAAUCUUUUUCAGAGGAACCUGCCCUGUAAAUGAUAGUCCACGAUUUAAAUUACUUUUUUUUAGUUUACAUAUCGCCGUAGUUUGAACAUUUUUUUUGAAUUUUAAUGUUCAAGAUUUUUAUAGAAAAAGAAUUCAGGUCAAGAUGUAGCUUAUAGAAAAGAAUGAGGUGGGUUACAAUAAAAAACUUAUGGAUGGUUAAUUUAAAAUUAGCUGGAAAUUGGAUUUGAUAGUAAUUUUAAUAAAAAGUUAGAAUGAUUAAAGCUCUAAAAU
rnacentral:rRNA from 1 species